UUUCAAAUUGUUUUUCAAAACACAGGGUAACAUCCUAAUAAACAAAUGAAUCAUGCUUCCUGCAACACCUUUUCACAAACAGAAACCCCAAAAUAUGCCUGCAAUGUUCUGACAAAAAAAGAGGCCAUUGUCCAAUUAGCAAAACACCUGAAUUUAUUCAGAGUGAGGGAGGAAUCCAGCAACUGCUUGGAUGUUACCUGGAGAGAAGGCUGUGGGAAACAUCACUCGUUGCAGGCUCCGUUUAGCCUGUGUGAGGCCUUCAGCAAGAUGCAACCUGCCCUGACCCAUCAAGCAUGGUUCUGCUCACCAUGCCACCGAGAUCCAGCAGGCUCCUUGGCAAUGAGAAGAUGCAACUGUGUUAGUUGUGGUCUCCUGCAGAAGGACUGGCCCCCACCACAAACAUAAACCCUGCAUUGAGCCUGAGUUAUUGUCCUGGUGCUGAGAGCAAAAUUAAUUGUUUGAAAAAAAAAGUGCUUUCUAAUAAACUAAGAGGAAAGUGAUGCCAUCCCAUAUCUUGCUACCCAGCUGGGUGGGGACUUUGUAAGCUGUCAGCACCAAUAUGGGAGACGUGGGAUGGAAAAUAGCCCAGGCCAAGGUCAGAUACAGACAAGAACAGAGGCAAGUCUCCAAGCCUGGGAUGUGGAGCUGUCAGCACUACAGGGCAUCGGGCAAGCUCAGGAUGGAGUCAACAGCUGGAGAUGCCAAGUUGGAGCAGGGGCAUUCCAUGGGCAUCCAAGAGUUGAGCUGGCAGGAUGGGGAAUGGGGCCAGCAGAGAAUAAGGGCGUGCUCCCCUCUUCCUUUGCCUGAUUCACCACUACUUAUCUUUUAUACCUUGGCUCAGACAUCAUUUUAUCUCAAAGAAGGCCAUCAUCCUGCAAUUCUCCUCAAUAGCACCUACCAUUGAAGUGAGUCAAUGGGUGACUGAUUUUGGAGUCCUGCCUGCUAGAACAUAAACUCCACGAGCUAGACCCCCAUCUGUCUUCUUUAUGGCCACAUCUCUGGUACCCAGCACCAUGUGUGACCCAUUGUCAGCCCUCAAUACAUCUUACUGGGAGGAAGGAAAGAUGAAUAAAGGGCACAGAAGAAGAAGGAGGUAGGGAGGAAGGAUGGGAAGGACAAAUCGGAAGAAGGUGCACACUAAGCUGUGUCUGGUUCCAGAUCCUGUUUCUAAGGAGCUGCUGGUGGGCUUGUAAAUGCAGGUGGGCGUGGCCGACCCUGAAGGCAUAGCACCCCCAGCCCAGUGACUGACCUGUGUGGUAGACAUUGGAGGUCACAUGGUUUAAGAACCUGGCACAUAAAUCCUUCCUGGAAAAAUAAUCACAUUGUAUUUCUUGGUGUUUCAUCUCCUGACAGGGGUUUUUCUUUCUCUGGUGUUUGAGAUGAAAACAAGCUGUGACCUGAAACUAUAGACACUUCUCAAGGAUGAUGGUAUGUUGAUAGAAUGUAGUUAAAAUGCUCAUUAGGGAUCAUCUACUAUUGUAAAGAACAGGGUAGAGGAAGAGUAGGGUAGGCAGAGUCUCUUAAUCCUUGGAUUUAUUCAACAGGAUUUUACCAAAACAGGAUGAACCUCUGAAAAAAGACAAGCAUUUACAAUAACAUUGUAAAUAAAACCUAAUGAAAGACAUCUGAAGUCUACAGACAAAUGAACAGCCUUAAGAAGCCUGAAUCUUACAGGCAAUGACCUUUGCCAAUAGCUUUAAUACCAAUAGAGUUGCUGAUAUUGAUUAUCCAAUCUGUGGCAGGUAGGAGUCCAGGAGUGCAAAGGCACUUGGGACAGUGGGUUUGGGAAUAUUAGCUGGGUGAGAGGAAGCAGUGGUCCUGAAACUUAAUGUUCCUAUGAUUUAACUGGGGCUGAGUAGGUCUGAGAUGGGGCCUUAGAUUUUGCUUUUUUAACAAGCAAUGUCUAUGCAGGUGAGUAUUAAGAAUAAACUUAAACAGUUUUUCCUCUGCUCUCACACUAACACAACAACAGUUAUCAACACAGACAGGAGAAUUCUGUUAUCCCCAAAUAUGAGGGGGUUUCUCCCCAUCAGCAAGCAGCCCAUCAGUUCUGCAGUGGACACCAGCUGGUUGCCCUCCGAUUCAAUUCUGACAUCGUCUACUGGAAGAUAGUGUCAGAUCCCACAGGUCUGACUCUACAGAGACCACAGAUUCUUUGAGUUGCAAGGAAUGAAGAGGUCACUCAACCUAGUUCAAGCGAUGAGGUUUAUGGUGAAGAAAUUGCAAAGCAGUGAGAGUGAUGGAAACUUCUGGAAAACAGGAUUGUGGAGUAGCCAGGCCUGGAAGAGACUGGAACCAGGUAUCAUCCUGAGUCCAGGGCAGCUCAAGGCACCUCAGGGGCAGAGGUUUGUGUAAUUCUUUAUUUCUUGCUGUUCUUCGAAGGGCUUUCUUUUAUCUCAGAGCUUCCACUACCCCAUGCUUCUCCUAACUUCUGCCAGCUCGCCGCCUCUCAGAGCCCCUCGUCUGACUCAAAGUCUCUGUUUCUGCUUCCUUUCAGCAUUUUCCCCACUGAAGACAGGACCCUUGCUAGUUUCUAAUUCAGGCCUCAAGAGCAAGAAGCUGACCCGCCCCUCCUGGCAGGCAAAGCACAUCACCCAGGCGCCCCAGGGCCCUGCCAGCCUGCAACCAAGCUUCUUAGUCAGGCUAGGUGUGCCCCAGCUUUCUAAACACCUGGGGCCAGGAAGGGGCAGGAUGGGCCUCAUGGUACAACCUCGCUGCCAGGACAGCAGGUGCUGCCUCCUGGGAAGGGCCUUUUAAAGAUAUGGUGGGUGUGGUAUUUGCCUCCUCUGUGAAAUCCACGGCUGGCUGAGCUCCAAGCUUUGUAGUCCUUGGAGAGUUAAUCUUGGUGGCUCUCUCUUAUGCAAAAAAAAACUUCAGAGAAGUAUUGGGAGACUUCCUAUUUGGAAAUUUCUAGUCUGUACUGCUAAAGGGAGUAGGGGUAGGGGAGUCAUUUUUCAGUUUUUUUUCUUUUUCUUUUUUUUUUUUUUUUAGGCAGGGUCUUGCCUUGUUGCCCAGGCUGGAGUGCAGUGAUGCAAUCACGGCUCACUGCAGCUCGACCUCGCAGGCUCAAGCGAUCCUCCUGAAUAGCUGGGACCACAGGUGUGCAUCACCACACCUGGCUAAUUAUUUUGUAGUUUUUGUAGAGAUGGGGUCUCACCUUAUUGCCCAGGCUGAUCUCAAACUCCUGGGCUCAAGUGAUGCUCCCUCCUUUGCCUCCCAAAGUGCUGGGAUUACCCAUGAGCCACAGCACCUGGCCCAUUUUUCAGUUUUUAAAGGUCUGGUGGUUUUCCGAAACCUUCACUUGGGAUUUGGCAUGUUAAUUACGACUAAACCCCUGAUCCUUCCCCACACCUCCUGGGGGAUGAUUAGGUCAGGGCCAGGCCAUCCCCGCUCCUCCUGGAGGCUGCAGGAGGCACUCCACACAUCUCCCCACGGGCAGCAUCUGCUCACUCCCUCUGCUCAUGUUUAUUGAGCACUCGAUGUGCUAGGUACAGUUCUCAGACCUGGGGGUACAAUACUGAACCCAAAAGACAACCGUCUCUGUCCUCAUAGAGCUUAUGUUCUAAUGAGGAGAGACAAUUCAUAAAUAUAACAAAUGUGUGAAUUAUAGCUUCCGUUAGAAGGUGAUAAGUGCUUCAGGAAAAGAAAAUAUGUCAGAGUAAGUGGGGUAGGAAGUGCGGGUGAGGAGAGGAGGUAGACAGAUGAAAUGUUUGAUAGCACAGGGAGGGUAAGUCAUUGAGAAGCUGUUAUUUGAGCCAAGCCUCGAUGGAGGUGCGGGAAGCUUUGAGAAUUUUGUAAUAUCCCCCAGCACAAGACACUAGAGGCACCUUGGAGUCUUGUGAAAGCAACACUGAAAACUCUGGGAAUAAACAGCAGAGAAGUAAGGGUGUGACAAGUCAGGAAUAUUCCAUGGCUAUGCACCAAGAAUGGCCCUGCACAAAUAUUUAGGAGGAGUGGCAGUGAGAGGAUUUGAGGGUCAAAAGUGUUAAAGUAGAAAUAUGAGAAAUUACAACAAAGUCCAGGUUCACUUCAGUGUAUUAUUAUUUUCAUUUUUUUGUAAAAUAUUUUGAAAAAUUUCAAAAUAAAGUUGCUAAAAGACUUUGUCGUGAUAAUGACGUUGCAGUUAUGUAGGAGAAUGGCCUUAUUCUUUUUUGUUUUGUUUUGUUUUUGAGACUGAGUCUUGCUGCGUCACCCAGGCUGGAGUGCGGUGGCACAGUCAUGGCUCACUGAAGCCUUGACCUCCCAGACUCAAGUGAACCUCCCGCCUUAGCUUCCUGAGUAGCUGGGUGUACAGGCAAGUGCCAUCAUACCCAGCUAAUUUUAAGAUUUUUUGUAGAGAUGGGGUCUCGCCUUGUUGUCCAGGCUCCUUGAACUCCUGGACACAAGUGAACCUCCCGCCUCAGCCUCCUGAGUAGCUGGGAUUACAGGUGCAUGCCACCACGCCCGGCUAAUUUUUUGUAUUUUUAGUAGAGAUGGGGUUUCACUGUGUUAGCCAGGAUGGUCUCAAUCUCCUGACCUCAUGAUCCGCCCGCCUCAGCCUCCCAAAGUGCUGGGAUUACAGGCGUGAGCCACCGUGCCUGGCCUUUUUUUUUUGUUUUUUUUGAGACGGAGUUUCGUUCUUGUUGCCCAAGCUGGAGUGCAAUGGCGCGACCUCGGCUCACUGCAACUUCCUCCUCCAGGGUUCAAGUGAUUCUCCUGCCUCAGCCUCCAGAGUAGCUGGGAUUACAGGCGCCCACCACCAUGCCUGGCUCAUUUUUUGUAUUUUUAGUAGCAAUGGGGUUUCACCAUGUUGGCCAAGCUGGUCUCGAACUCCUGACCUCAGGUGAUCCACCCGCCUGGGCCUCCCAAAGUACUGGGAUUACAGGCAUGAGCCACCGCACUUGGCCUGUUUUGUAUUUUUUCUAUGAGACAUGCCUGGUGGUAGAGAGAUUUGGACUGGCUAACCUGUUUUUCUUUUGCUGCCACUUUGUUUGGGUUCUAUCCAAAGCAAACCUUGGGAUCAGAGUUUGAGUGUAAGCUGUUUAUUUGGCAGAUGUAGUGGGUUGAAUGGUGGCCCCUCAAAAGAUAUAUUCAUGUCCUAACCCCCGCAACCUGUGAAUGUUACAUUAUUUAGAAAAAUAGUUUAUUGUCAAUGUAAUUAAGUUAAGGAUCUUGAGAUGAGAUUAUCCUAGAUUACCCAGGUGGGCCCUAAAUCCCAUGACAAAUGUCCUUAGAAGAGACAGAAGAGGAGAAGGCAUGGACACAGAGGAGGAGAAGGCCGUGUGAAGAUGGAGGCAGAGAUUACAGUGAUGCAGCCACAAGCCAAGGAAGCCUGGAGCCCCCAGAAGCCAGAAGAGGCAAAGAAGGAUUCUCCCUAGAGCCGUCAGAGUGAGUGCAGCCCUGCUGCCAACUGGAUUGUGAGCUUCUGGCCUCUAGAACUGCAAGGAAAUUAAUUUCUGUUGUCUUAAGCCACCAAGUUUGGGGUCAUUUGUUAAGGCAGUCUUAGGAGAGGAAUACAGCAAGUGAUUCCAGGAAGCAGAGGCAUGGAGUGGGAAAGUGAGACGCAGUGGGAUGCAAGCCAAUAAAGGGAAUGCUCAGGGGUGCAUCGCUGCCCUGGGGAGCUUCUGAGAGGAGUGAGAAGGCCGGGCUAUCCCCCAGCUCCAUUCUUGCUGGUUGAGGGUCACUCCUUUGGGCUCAAUGCUCAAUAUACUCUUGGUCUGCAGAGCAUGCUCCUAAGGUAUUGUGUGUAGGAUUUUGGAGUGGACCAAGGGCUCUGGACAGAGUGGAGUGGACAGCAGCUCCUCUGCCCCUACCCUUUGGCUGCUCAUUGAUUAGCUGAAAGCCCUACAGGCAUAGGUAUGGGAAGAAAAAAUGAGGUUCAGUAGAUAGAGAGUAACAUACUUUGACACCCAAAACAAAUUAGACUGGUGGACUCCAGUUAGAAUGUCCAACUCCAAGACCUGAUCAGUUCAUGUAUCCACCUCUGGCAAAUAUGUGACAGGUGACUCCUUUCUGCACAGCAUGGAAAUAUUAAUCCACUUUCUUUGGGAUAUUAUAGUUGGAAUAUGAGUUUUUUUCAGGUUUAUUUUAGAAUAUAUUUGAUAACUUCCUGUUUAUUAAUAUUGAAUGGAAUGUUCACAUGUUCCCAUUAUAUUUGUCUUACAUGUAAAAGCUCUAUAAUCGUGCAUUAAAUCAACCUGCCUUGUAGUAUAAGCUAGAAAUGCUGCUAGAUGCUCUGUGUGGAGACUGGAUCUCCAAUGACUCUGGCACCUCACAGCACCCAGCACAGUGUAAGAAAACAGCAGGUGCACAAUAAAGACAUGCUGUUAGGUUUAUCCCUCUCCUUCCUGGUCUCUCCUUCCAGCCCCUGGGCUCCAUCACAAUCAUUUCCAAGCAGUGCUCCUGCAGCUUUCAUUUCUUGCUCGUCUGUUAUUUGUUGCUCCCAGCCAGCAAUGUUCUUUUCUUGUCUCUUUUCUUCUAGUCUCUCUGGGUAGAUUCCUGCAGUGCUUUUUGGCACGGCUGGGUGGGGAACUCUCCGAGACUGUCUACAUCAUUUUUCAAAGCUCCCACCAUCAGACUUGGCAUUUCAUAUACAGCUUUGAACACUGUCAACUGGUGCCUUCACCUUUUCCCUUAAUGAGGGCUCAAGGGUACCCUUUAGCACAGAAUAAAUGUACACAUCUGAAAUUGAACAUUAAAAUGUAUCUGCUUGUUUUAAAACUCAGUUUUUCCUUUUCAGGUUGGAGAACGUCUUGGAAAUGGCAUGCCUUUACUUGUGGGUUUCCAUUAGGGCCUCCUGGGUAUGAUCCUGGCUGUAGCCUCCUUUUUUCUUAGCUAUUUAUUUCUCUUAUGAGCUGGAACUGAGAGGGAAGAGGAUCCGGAGGACUAAGGUAGUUUUGUUCCUAGCCAUCUUUGGCUUGAAUCCUUUUGGCAUCCUCUGAUAAGCAGAAAUAGCAUCAUCUGUCUCUACUAAUGGCAUUAUCUUAGCUGGAAGAAGUGAUUUAUUCAAAUGCUCUAAUAAUUAUAGCUCACAUCUAUCGAGUGCUUACCACACGCCAGGCUCCUGUGCUAAGUGCUUGGCAUUCUUUAUCUCCAUUUUCAUCUUCACAACAACCUUCUGAAGUUGCUCCUUUAUCAUCUCCAUUUCACAGAUGAGGAGACCGAGACUUGGGAAGUCUAAGUGCAUGCUGGAACCACACAGGUAGUGGAGCUAGGAUUCAAGCCCAGGUCUGUUUGACUUAGAACAUGUGACUUAGAACAUGUGAGUUAGAACAUGUUCUGAACACAACUUUCAGGGCACAUGGCCUUGGAUCGCAAGACUCCCUCAUCUUCUGCUUUUUAAAACAGUUACAUGGAGAAGUGACUCCAUGUUGAAAAGGCAACCACAGCUUCUGAAAGUGUCCUUAGGGAACCUCACUAUUAGGAGCCAGGUCUAUCCAAGUCAGUACAAAUGAAGCGAGGGAUGCUGGCCAAGGCACAGGGUGGGCUUUUUCUGUUCAGGAAAACAAGGUUGUUUUUAAAAGGAGAUUUGUUGAAAGGGACAUUAGAAGGAGAGUGUGAACACUUUGGAAUGUGGAGAUGGACGGGGAGUAAGACCCAAGCAUCUCACACCAUUUGGGGCAGCAUCAAAGCUUUUAUGAGUGUCCUCUCCCAUAGCAACUCGGCACCUCUGCUGGUUCCUGCCUCACCUGUCCUUCAGCUUGUACCAAGUCAUCCACUCAGGAGGCGGAAUUGUGCUUUGCUGUCAUGAAAUCUCUAUUGGGGAAGAUCAAUGGAAAAAGGACUACUCAGAAGACAGGGAUCAGCUCAAACCAUUCAUUCCUGGUUUUCAUGGGGGUAUGAGGAGAGCAGAGCAAAGUGUGUGUGUGUGUGUGUGUGUGUGUGUCUGUGUGUCUGUUAUUGUGUGUGUCUGUGUCUGUUAUUGUGUGUGUGUGUGUGUGUGUGUGUUUGUAGAUGGGGUCUCUGGCUCUAUUGCCCAGGCUGGUCUUGAACUCCUGUACUCAAGAGAUCCUCCUGCCUCGGCCUCCCAAAAUGCUAAGAUUAUAGGCAUGCCAUCACGCCUGGCCCAGAGCAAAGAGUUUUGACCGCUGAGCAUCCAAGGAUUAACAGGGGACUGAAAGCAGGGAAGAAACGGGUCUCUGGUGCAUGGGGUGCUGGGGAACAAGGAAAGUGGUGGCCUGACCCUGGUCUAGUCAGAUGGGCAGGUGUUGCCCUGGCCCCAGGGAAUUCUGGCCCAGCAUGGUCCUGCCUGAAGUGUGUCCUGGCUUCCUGUCUUUCCUGGCUGUCUGGCUUUUAUCACACAGGAACAGAAGACAUAAAUAAAUUGGGAAUAUGGAUACC
rnacentral:lncRNA from 1 species